GACGAACGCUGGCGGCGUGCUUAACACAUGCAAGUCGAACGGAAAGGCCCUGCCGGGGUUGCACGAGCGGCGAACGGGUGGGUAACACGCGAGUGAGCUGCCCACCCCUUUGGUAUAGCGCUAUGAAGCUGAUGCUAACAAUGGAUAGGUACUACUGCUUCAUGGUGGGGGUUGGAAAGCUCCGGGGGUUGUGGGGGGAUGCGCGGCCUAUCUGCUUGCUGGUGGGGUAGUGGCCUACCCAGGCAGCGUCGGGUAGCCGGCCUGGGAGGGUGACCGGGCACAUUGGGACUGGGAUACGGCCCAGACCCCGACCGGGAGGAACAGUGGGGGAGUUUGGACCAUGGGCGCGAGCCCGAUUCAGCAACGGCGCGGGCCGGAAGACGGGCUUUGGGUUGGAAACCGAAUUUCGCAGGGACGGAGCUUUUAGUGACGGUACCUGCAGAAGAAGCACCGGCUAACUACGUG
rnacentral:rRNA from 1 species